ACCACUAAGAGAGGUAGGGGGGUGGAGGAGAGACCACUAAGGGAGGGGGGGUAUCCCUCACCCUUAGUGGUCUCUUCUCACCCCCCACCC